GGGUGAUCUGGCUGUGACAUCUGUCACUGCAUUGAUAGCCAGGGUUGAUUCAACUGAUCUGGUUGGCUGGGUGUGUGUCUGUCCACUUCCUUCCUCACCACUCCCGAAUCUGCACGCUUUGUCAAAGAGGAUGAAGAGGAUGGCCUUCCCUGAAUAGAGGAGGACUGAUCUUCAGCCAAGGGUAUAGGAACAGCUGCUAGAACCUCCAAACAAGCUAAGUUUUUAAAAGUGAGUCAAUUUUAUUUCAUUUU
rnacentral:snRNA from 1 species